AUGUAUUACGAUCUUCUUUGAGAUUAACAUAUUUGACGUACUUCCUUCUCGCUGGGUGGUCUGCUGUACUUCCACGCUUUGUGAUGUGUGUUUUAGUAGUGACUAGUGAUAUUUUGUGUGCAUUUUUGAUAUAAAAUGUGGAAACUACUAAUACACACAAAAUUUCUAUCACAAUAGAUUCUGGAAUUACAGUUUUAUCUGUUGUAUGUUUUUAUAUUAAUGGGUAUCGAAUUAUUUUGACGAUUCCCGUUGAUUAAGUUACUAAUUAUACCUACAGGUGAGAAUACACUUUUUCUUGCCUUUGCCAAGCGAAUUUUUCUUCAGCAGUUCAGUCUACAGGGACAGUGUAUUUCCUUCCUAAAGCUUAAAAGGCCUUGUUGUCCGUAGGCAUUACAAUACCAUCAAGGGACUUAAAAAUGACCUAUGUCACAAUGUAAUAAUAUUAAUGGUAUGAAGAGCUUUUAUAAAUGUAUCAUUCCUUCCGCACUAAUACAAAACCUUGGAAUAAGUUUGGCUUCAAAGAAAAGUUAUGAAAGUGACUUCUUCCCCUGGAAAUAAGAAUAAUGAUCACAGGAUGAAGUGGAUUGGUUUGUGACAUGUUUAGAGGCAUUAGAAGUUGUAGGACUAGAAGAUAAGAACAAUCGUUUGAGAAUAUUUUUGGGGGUUUGGUUGGUGUUAAAGCGCCACUACAUUUUGCUCGUUCUGUUACAAAAAUUAAAAGGGAAUGUCACUUUAAUACUUCGCGAAAGUGUGGAAAAAUACUUUCUUUUAUUAAGAACAGAGUUUAUUUUAUUUAAAAUUACAAUAAUGUUAAUGUUAAUGUAACAUAAUUAAUUUUAGGUUGGCGUUGCGUUUUCCAUAUGCAACGUCUAAUAGACAACCCUUAAACAACGUUUCAAAACUGACAGAAGCAAAACAGCAAAAUUGAUGUAAAAGUGACCUUUCCCUGUUAGUGUGAAUGUUAGCUUAAUACAAAUUAUUCAUGUAUUCAUUUUAUUUUAAUAUGAGAGAAGAUACUGGACAAGAAGCAUAAAAUAUGUAAAUUUUCAAUUUAACAGCUGUCUUAUUUUGCUGAUUAAUGAAUGAUUUGACCAACAAAUGAGAGAAAAUUGAAAGUUAAUUUUAACCCUAGUGAUGACCAUAAGCGAAGUUUGCAUUGAUGCCUUUCAGAGUUUGGUUUGCUUUUUGCAUGUAUGAAUUUGGAACGUUACACUCUGCAGCUAAUCAAGAUUGAUGUUAAGAUCCAAGAUAUCAAGAGCGGAAGAGUGCUCAUUUUGAUGUUGCUGAAAAACAAGCUGUCUUCUGUGGCGUUCUACAUGUUAACUUCUCAUCUUGGAGAAUCUCGAGGUUAAUUAAGGAACAUUACAAAAACUCCCGAUACCAAUAAAUUAAGGAGCAUUCAUUGUAGCAGUUUUCAUUCGCUCCAGAAAGUAAUGUGCCUGUGAUCUUAAAGAAAGCAUAAAAGUGGCUUUUUUGGUUGGGAAUGGAGUCAGUGUGCUGUUGCUGAAGGAAGGAUUAGUGAUAAUGAAUUGCAAUGGCAUUAAUGUGGAACUGAUCUUUCCAUCAGUGUGAAUGUUACUGAUUUACUUUCUUUAAAAGUGGUAAUUAGAUACUUUUUCCUGUUCGUUUCUGUAAAUUGCUCAACAAACGAGAAGGAAUUGCAGUUAAUUUUGGUGCCGAGAAUGAGAGGCAAUUGGAAAUUAAUUUGAAAGUCACUGAAACAACAAAUUGUAUGCAGUGGUGUCCCUAUUGAAUUUAGUUUGCUCAUCAUACUGGUAGAUUUUAGAACGCGACAUACUCGACGAUUGAUAUUAAUUGCUCUUCAUUAUUCUAUCGUCCAACAAAUGAGGGUGAAUUAAAGUUCUGCUUGGUUGUACUGAAACAACCAAUGACUACAUGGGUGUGGUCUUUCAUGGAAUAUAUUCUUGAUUUGCCGUUUUCGUCUUUGUCUUGCAACAUUAUUCAGUUAAUUUUCAACCGAUUAGUGAGAGCAACUGGAGGUUUAUUUGAAUUCUACUGAAAUAGCAAAUUUUCUGCAUUGGAAUUCCUCCUGGAUUAGUUUUGCAUUUCACUCCUGCAAACUUUGGGACAUUAUGGUCUACACUCUACAGUUAAUUAAGAUGGACGUUGGAGACGACAAAGAUGACCCCGUAGUUAAAAUA
rnacentral:lncRNA from 1 species